GUCAGAGAUAAAACAUGGCCUGUGCCGAUGUCAACAUGGACAUCCAAGCUUUUGAAGACGCGCCAUUGAGAGCCGAGGAGCGAGAGGAGCCUGUGAUACAAUAUUAUCGGGCCAUGGAAUUUGUGCCAGACCAGAAAGGGCCGCUGCAUGACCUGCUGCACAAACAACCGGCUGUGUUGGGGUCUCUGCAGAUGAUGAGUGGUCUCCUCAGUGUUGGAGUGGGAAUACUUUUUGCAGUAACCCAGGAGAUGUCAGAAUCCCUUUUGACGAUGUGCAGACUUUCUCAACUGAACGGAGCAAUCUUCAUCUUUGCUGGAAUGAUUUCCAACCUGUUGUUCAAAUAUUCAGGAUUACUACCUGUGUCCCUCACGGUCAACUGUGGCUGCAUUAUUGUAGCCGUAGUUUCAGCCUGUCUGAUUACUGUUGACUUGGCUUACUGGAAUCCCAAAGACGAUCUACUUCUGAGGGUAGAGGUGAUGGAACUGUGUGUGUUGGGGCUUGAGGUGUUUCUCUCUGCAGUCCUUUGCUUCUGGAUCUCUAAAGAGAAACGCACCGUGAGCAAGAACAUAUCUGAGAGCGCUUCAAACUAACUGUCAGUAAAUGAACUGCCGCGGGGCCGUUUAUUAGUGUGCAUUAGAAGAUAGACGACUGUGUUUGCAGAGUUUUUUUUUUGUGGCUUUCUGUUUCGUCUCGAUUUCCUUUAUUAGAGCUGAAGCCCCUGGUGAGCAGCCCGGGCUGUGGUUUGCGUGUGAUGUUUGACUCAAACUGAGAACACAACGUUUUGUGGUAAAUAAAUGUCAACACUUCACAUGUGAAAGAAAACACCACUCCCAUCAACCUUUGUCUUUCUCUGUAACGGCAGCAAUGGGCCUCACAGGGCUGCUUUGUCGGUCUGCAUGCAAAGCGGUCGGUGUGGUUUUACACGGCUCUUUAAAACCCGUGGAAAUAUCUGCGGUGUGUUUUCAGAUAAACGUGCACUUUUAGCAGCUCUCAAGGUUACACAGGUUACUUUGCAGGACUAUAAAGGAUUGUGCAUUAUAGACAGUAUCCACGGGUGGGAAAACCUCAUUUCAAGAAAGAAAGGAAAAGAAAUGAUUACGACAACAUUCUUUAAACAUUUUAAUCAUCUGUACAAAGUUGUCAUAACAGAAUACUGGCAAUAAAAGGAAGAUAUUCUCCAGAUAGAUCUGCCUGCUAUUUUCUGUUUGUAUGUAAAAUACAUAAAAAAAAACCCUCAUCUACAGUAUAAACAUUGAUUUAUAUCUAGCUCAUUAAAACAAAUGUACAGACCACUGACGUACCACGUGUCAGUGUAAAUUCAGUAUCACAAUGAAAUGCCAUUCAACAGUUGAGCUUCAUCCAUUGUAGUGUUAGUGCUGCAAAGCUGGACUCCCGUUAUUUUUGUCUCAUUGUCUUGACAUACAAACUACUGUUGCAUCAUUCAUCUUCAGGAUCUUCACAGCUAGGUAGAAAGAAGGAAUACACAAGAAUGGGGAUUUAGAACAAUAUUUUACUUUGGAAUCAAGUCAUUUUAUUUUUAGUCACCAUGAAAUAUUAAACAUUUUAGUCAAAUCCACAAAAUCACCUUUUAGUUGUAAGUGCCAAUAUACAACACAAACCAAUAAUUCAGUUACCAUAAAUCUGUGAAACUGUUUAAGGAUUUGACUUAAAUGUUGCUUUUCUUUGAAAUAAUUUGUGGGAAAUUGAACAUGUAACACAUCUUAGUUAAAAAA
ensembl:lncRNA